rnacentral:lncRNA from 1 species
AAGACUUGUGCUAUAAAGCCCGCCUAAGCCGAGAAGAACAUCCCUCCUGUCGAGAGUCCCUGGAGAAUUUUCGCUAUUUUUGGAGGUGAUUUCAGGUCUAUGGUCAUCAUUUUUGGCUUUGCAUGUAACUUUUUUCUUGGAAAAGGGCGAUUUCUUGGAGCAGAAGGAAGAAGUAUGGGGAAUGCAAUGAGUUGCAGCUGCAAUUGCGCAAAAAGAAGCCAUC